GCGUGGUGCUUAGUUGCCUGCUGGGGUUAAACCACAACAGUCCUUUUUGGCGCCCGACGUGGGGCUCAAAGGGUUUGAGAUAAUAACAGAUUUGAUUGGAAUG